GCCCUUGUAGCUCAGUUGGUAGAGCAGCGGUUUUGUAAACCGAAGGUCGCGGGUUCGACUCCUGCCGGGGGCACCA
rnacentral:tRNA from 3 species